AGAGAGGAUGCUUGCUUAGGAAAAAAGUUGGACCAGUACAGAGACGAUUAGCAUGGCCUUUGCACCAUGAUGACACGCAAAUUUAUGAAGCAAUUCCAUAUUUU
ensembl:snRNA U6 U6 spliceosomal RNA